rnacentral:lncRNA from 1 species
GAUCAGAUGCCAACCAUGUGAAGUGCCCAGAGGCAACUCCAAAACACCCGGCCCACCAGCGGGUAGAGGCUGCCAAGGAGCCAGAUGCUGUAGCUUUAAAAAUAUCUUCAGCUGCUUGGCAUGUGCAGUUGCAGGCUGGUGCCUGGGAGAAGGAGCAGGCCAGGUCUGGGACAGCCAGGCCGGCCGGCGGCAGCAACCCGCCUGUAUGUAAUGGAGAGCGCCUCUAGCCACAGGGCUGCCCAUUUGGCCUUGUUAAAUCACCCCCAGCAUAUGGUGAGAGACAUCUGCCCAGGAUUUGGACCUCACAGACUGGAAGAGGAGGGCUCCGCACAGACACUUUGAGGCUGGAGAGGGUGGAGGCAGCUGGGAAGGCGAUUCUAGGGCAAGGGCCUCACUUCUCUGAGGAGCCGGGAUUCUGAGAAAGAAGGGACUGGCUCAAGGUCAUGCAGUAGCCUACGGUUAGAUCUGUAGGGGACAAUUCAUUUCGGUUCUUUGAGCCUCUGUUUAUUUAUCUGUGAAGUGGGGUGGACAAAUAACUUACAGCCUGGAUCUGAGGGUUCGAUGAGAUCAUGUAAGGGAAUGGGCCCUGCUCAGUGCAUUUUAGUCGAACGUAUUUCUCGGUGUUCAGGGUAUAAGGGUCAAAGGCAGCCACUGACAGUGUUACAUUUUCAAGAGGCUUCAGAAAAGAUCCAAUACCUUCCCAAAUCCUGCUCCUGCUGCUUAGGGCUGGAGGGAACUGCAUUCUUCUGGCCGCUGUUUGAGUCCAAUUACAAUGCAGCCUCACUUGCAAUGGAUAAAAAUGUGAAUCGUGGAAGGCUGACUUCUAGGAUUCCGAAAAAGGCAAAAUGGAGAAACUGGGCCACUCCGUGUUGCUGGAUCAAGCCAUAACUGAAGACAGUGCUACCUUUGGACUUUUUACUUGUAAGAGCAUUUUAUAAUUUACAUAUAUUUCACUUAUAUGUAUAAUAUGCAUAUUAUAUUUGUAAUUUAAUCCUGUUGGAGUCGUGUUUUCCAUAAUGAGCAUGUGAAAAUAUCCAGAUGUGUUCAGGAAGCCCUAAGAGGUUAUUGACAUUCAGCCCUGGCUUAUCUUUAGAUUGUCAAUUAAGACUUAAAGUCUUAUUGGUUUGUCACAUAUGUUACAUGGCAAAGUCAUUAGAGCUACUGGCUGAGUGUGCGGAUCUUGUUCUUGGAGUAUGAAUAAGAUGGUCUUCUUAGAUUGGGAUGAGGAUAAGUGGGGGCAAGUCCUCAUCUGCCACCAAAAAUGGUCUUCUGGUCCUUCAUUUUUCCACUUGGACUGACAAGUGGGUUGUAUUACAUUAGGAUUUGGCAAACUUCACUCAUUUAUAUAUUAUUAAAAUUUUUUCUGUAUUCUCCUGUGUUACUAUUUACUUCAUAUUUUUCUUUAAAUUAACCCAUUUCCUUCAUUUUAUAAAUCAUUUAGGAGUAAGAUAAAAUGUGUAUUAUUAAAAAAUGGAAAAGCCAAUGUUUAAUACAUGUAUACAUAAGUACAUAGUUAUUAACAUUAAAAAAAUGCUUGUGUACCACUUAAAAUUACCUUGCAUCUGAUCCACUGGGAAAGUCUAGGAGUCAAUCGAUGUUUUUCUAACUGUGUUUUUAUGGGCUAGCUUAUUUAAGUUUAAAUUAUUUGCAGUGUUACAUGCGAAUUUAAUUUUGUAACACAUUUUUAACUAUUUUGAUAAUUGAGAUAAAAAUCCAUGAUCUACUUAAGUAUAUGUGUAUACAUAUUAUAUUUAUUUAUUUAUUUUUAAAAAAUCUUAUUUGAGAGAGAGAG